rnacentral:lncRNA from 11 species
AUUUGUUUUAUUUUGGUUGUGGAUGCUGUUGGUUCCUCCCCCCCCUCCAGGUUUGUGGAUUUUCAGUAUCCUGACCUGUCUCCUGAACUUUUGGAAUCCUAGAACCUCUAGACUGGCCAUUGACUAUGGUAUAGAUUCUUCAGAUUCUCUGAAAGGUCACACAGAGAAUUUGUGAUUUUCCGCUCUGCAUCAAGCAAAUUAUGAAGCAUACAUUUAAGACCAUCUCUGGUGUAAAGAAGUGAGUAUAUUUGCUAUUCCUUUUUUAAAGAGGUGGUUGUGUGAAAAGAGACCAGGA